rnacentral:rRNA from 1 species
UGGGGAAUUUUGGACAAUGGGCGAAAGCCUGAUCCAGCAAUGCCGCGUGUGUGAAGAAGGCCUUCGGGUUGUAAAGCACUUUUGUCCGGAAAGAAAUCCUUGGCUCUAAUACAGUCGGGGGAUGACGGUACCGGAAGAAUAAGCACCGGCUAACUACGUGCCAGCAGCCGCGGUAAUACGUAGGGUGCAAGCGUUAAUCGGAAUUACUGGGCGUAAAGCGUGCGCAGGCGGUUUGCUAAGACCGAUGUGAAAUCCCCGGGCUCAACCUGGGAACUGCAUUGGUGACUGGCAGGCUAGAGUAUGGCAGAGGGGGGUAGAAUUCCACGUGUAGCAGUGAAAUGCGUAGAGAUGUGGAGGAAUACUGAUGGCGAAGGCAGCCCCCUGGGCCAAUACUGACGCUCAUGCACGAAAGCGUGGGGAGCAAACAGGAUUAGAUACCCUGGUAGUCCACGCCCUAAACGAUGUCAACUAGUUGUUGGGGAUUCAUUUCCUUAGUAACGUAGCUAACGCGUGAAGUUGACCGCCUGGGGAGUACGGUCGCAAGAUUAAAACUUAAAGGAAUUGACGGGGUCAUAGCUGUUU